rnacentral:lncRNA from 1 species
UUCAUUUUUAAUAGAGAAGUGAUUCAUCUACUUUCUUAAUAAGGUAACAGAACGAACUUCAAGUACUUCGUAGGACGCCGUCGUUUGCUAAGAUGUGCUUCCACAUGAUCUUUCUUUUGCUUGGAUUUCACUACUAUGUCAUCAACGUAAUCCUCCAAUUCUUCAUGCAUCAUAUCAUGAAAAAUAGCAGUCAUAGCACAUUGAUAAGUAGCACCAGCAUUCUUUAAACCAAAAGG